rnacentral:rRNA from 1 species
UACAGAGGGUGCGAGCGUUGUCCGGAAUCACUGGGCGUAAAGGGCGCGUAGGCGGCCUGAUAAGUAGGGGGUGAAAUCCUGUGGCUCAACCGCAAGGCUGCCCUUCUAGACUGUCGGGCUUGAGCACAGUAGAGGCAGGUGGAAUUCCCGGUGUAGCGGUGGAAUGCGUAGAGAUCGGGAAGAACAUCGGUGGCGAAGGCGGCCUGCUGGGCUGUUGCUGACGCUGG